GCCGGUGUAGCUCAGUGGUAGAGCAGCGGUUUUGUAAACCGCCGGUCAUGGGUUCAAGUCCCUUCACCGGCUCCG
rnacentral:tRNA from 2 species